AAAUUAAUAUAUUGUUUUGCAUUCUGAAAAAGUUUUUCUCUAACCUCUGCUACUGAGUUCUCGGACCGUUCGAUUCAAUAAGGAUAUCACUCGCUACUUUAUUUGAUUUACCUCUUAAUCAUAUAUUAAAUGUAUUGUAAAUAUUAUGGGACAAUCGCAAACUGAAUGGAAUAUGUAGAUAAUGAAUAUGGUAAAUGAGUCAAGUUAUCAGCGACAUCGGAACCGAAUUGCCGAUUACAAGUCCUAUGCAACUAUUCCAAAAUAUCCAAAGUAAACCCAAGUGAUUGCCGGAUCAUCGGAGCUGUCAAUUGUGUGCACAUUACUUCCGGACUCUGUUUGAUUUACAGCACGGCAAAGCAAAGAAAAUCAAGGCUCGGCUGCGGCUUCGGCUAUUGUUGUGCCUAUAUUUACAUGCCUACUUGGUCAUUACAUUUAAGCGAUGUGAGUAUAAAAACAGAUUUUCACACAAUAAACCGCAGUCGCUGUUAGAGUUAGAGUUACAGUCACAGUCACCGUUAAAGAGAGACAAAGAGAGCGUCGGGCAACCACUAAAUAAAUCCCUGGCUAAACAGUCGAAAAACAAACACUCUGCGCAUGGCACUGCGGCUCUUAGCUAAUAUUUGCUUAGGACAUUCCAAAUACUAGACACGCAUAAAUGUUGUGAGGUUGCAGGAUUUCCGCAUGCGCAGCAAAGUCCCCUAACGAGGUAUAGAGACUCUCUCUCUCUAGUGAAAAGUUACUGCUAAUAGCAUUAGCAUGAAAUCACAAUUACAGGUCAAAUGUGGUAAAGCGGGGAAGUCUGCAGCAACUAAACAGAUGUUGAAUAUUAUGUGGUGUUUGUGGUGUGGCAUGUGGCAAGUUAACUGAUCAUUACCAAACAAUCAAUAAGUGAGCAACAAUACGGGAAUUAGGUAAAUGGAAAUGGCUGGAAAACCUGUGUGUGAAACAGUUUUGAUUGAAGAAAGGGGAAAUUUUGCAAACGUGUGAAAAACUUUGUUGUGAAAAUAUUUUGAUUGCAGUA